rnacentral:rRNA from 1 species
GUUUGAUCCUGGCUCAGGACGAACGCUGGCGGCGUGCCUAACACAUGCAAGUCGAGCGGAGACAGUGAGUAGCUUGCUAUGAGCUGUUUUAGCGGCGGACGGGUGAGUAACGCGUGAGCAACCUUUCCCAGACAGGGGAAUAACACACCGAAAGGUGUACUAAUACCGCAUAAGACCACGGGAUCACAUGGUUCUGAGGUAAAAGAUUUAUCGGUUUGGGGUGGGCUCGCGUCCGAUUAGGUAGUUGGUGAGGUAACGGCCCACCAAGCCGACGAUCGGUAGCCGACCUGAGAGGGUGAUCGGCCACAUUGGGACUGAGACACGGCCCAAACUCCUACGGGAGGCAGCAGUGGGGAAUAUUGGGCAAUGGGGGAAACCCUGACCCAGCAACGCCGCGUGGAGGAAGAAGGUUUUCGGAUCGUAAACUCCUGUCCUUGGAGACGAGUAGAAGACGGUAUCCAAGGAGGAAGCCCCGGCUAACUACGUGCCAGCAGCCGCGGUAAUACGUAGGGGGCAAGCGUUGUCCGGAAUAAUUGGGCGUAAAGGGCGCGUAGGCGGCUCGGUAAGUCUGGAGUGAAAGUCCUGCUUUUAAGGUGGGAAUUGCUUUGGAUACUGUCGGGCUUGAGUGCAGGAGAGGUUAGUGGAAUUCCCAGUGUAGCGGUGAAAUGCGUAGAGAUUGGGAGGAACACCAGUGGCGAAGGCGACUAACUGGACUGUAACUGACGCUGAGGCGCGAAAGUGUGGGGAGCAAACAGGAUUAGAUACCCUGGUAGUCCACACUGUAAACGAUGAAUGCUAGGUGUAGGGGGUAUCGACCCCUUCUGUGCCGGAGUAAACACAAUAAGCAUUCCGCCUGGGGAGUACGGCCGCAAGGUUGAAACUCAAAGGAAUUGACGGGGGCCCGCACAAGCAGCGGAGCAUGUGGUUUAAUUCGACGCAACGCGAAGAACCUUACCAGGUCUUGACAUCCACUUAAACUUACAGAGAUGUAAGGUGUGCUUGCACAAAGUGAGACAGGUGGUGCAUGGUUGUCGUCAGCUCGUGUCGUGAGAUGUUGGGUUAAGUC